rnacentral:rRNA from 1 species
AUUGAACGCUGGCGGCAUGCCUAACACAUGCAAGUCGAACGGCAGCACAGCAGUAGCAAUACUGUGGGUGGCGAGUGGCGGACGGAUGAGGAAUACGUCGGAAUCUGCCCAGUCGUGGGGGAUAACUAGCCGAAAGGUUAGCUAAUACCGCAUACGACCGAGAGGUGAAAAGCGGGGGACCGCAAGGGCCUCGCGCGAUUGGAUGAGCCGACGUCGGAUUAGCUAGUUGGCGGGUAAAGGCCCACCAAGGCGACGAUCCGUAGCUGGUCUGAGAGGAUGAUCAGCCACACUGGAACUGAGACACGGUCCAGACUCCUACGGGAGGCAGCAGUGGGAAUAUUGGACAAUGGCGCAAGCCUGAUCCAGCAAUGCCGCGUGUGUGAAGAAGGCCUUCGGUUGUAAGCGACUUUAUUCAGGAACGAAAAGACGUUGGAUUAAUAACUACUGACGUGC